GGGGGGGGGGGGGGGGGGGGGGGGGGGGGGGGGGUCGGGCGGAGGGGCGGGAAGGGGGCGGGUCUGGUGUUAGCUUCGGCCGUGUGAGGCCCGCGUGGAUCGCCUACCUGUAUGCCUGUGCUCACUUCUGGACACCGGAGCUAAUACCAGAUAAUCUUUUGCACCGCAUGGUUCCCAGGUCAAGAACCGUCUUGCUGUCACUUAUAGCUGGGUCCGCGCUGUAUUAGCUAGUUGGUAAGGUAACGGCUUACCAAGGCAACGAGGCGUAGCCGACCUGAGAGGGUGAUCGGCCACACUGGAACUGAGACACGGUCCAGACUCCUACGGGAGGCAGCAGUAGGGAAUCGUCCGCAAUGGGCGAAAGCCUGACGGAGCAACGCCGCGUGAGUGAUGAAGGUCUUCGGAUCGUAAAACUCUGUUAUUAGGGAAGAACAAAUGUGUAAGUAACUAUGCACGUCUUGACGGUACCUAAUCAGAAAGCCACGGCUAACUACGUG
rnacentral:rRNA from 1 species